AACGCGUAUGCAAUCUACCUUUUACAGGGGAAUAGCCCAGAGAAAUUUGGAUUAAUGCCCCAUAGUAUAUAACAUCCGCAUGUUUGUUAUAUUAAAGUUCCAACGGUAAAAGAUGAGCAUGCGUCCCAUUAGUUAGUUGGUAAGGUAACGGCUUACCAAGACGAUGAUGGGUAGGGGUCCUGAGAGGGAGAUCCCCCACACUGGUACUGAGACACGGACCAGACUCCUACGGGAGGCAGCAGUGAGGAAUAUUGGACAAUGGGCGCAAGCCUGAUCCAGCCAUGCCGCGUGCAGGAAGACGGUCCUAUGGAUUGUAAACUGCUUUUAUACGGGAAGAAACACCCCUACGUGUAGGGACUUGACGGUACCGUAAGAAUAAGGAUCGGCUAACUCCGUGCCAGCAGCCGCGGUAAUACGGAGGAUCCAAGCGUUAUCCGGAAUCAUUGGGUUUAAAGGGUCCGUAGGCGGUUUGGUAAGUCAGUGGUGAAAGCCCAUCGCUCAACGAUGGAACGGCCAUUGAUACUGCCAGACUUGAAUUACUGGGAAGUAACUAGAAUAUGUAGUGUAGCGGUGAAAUGCUUAGAUAUUACAUGG
rnacentral:rRNA from 1 species